AUUGAACGCUGGCGGCAGGCCUAACACAUGCAAGUCGAACGGUAACAGGAAGAAGCUUGCUUCUUUGCUGACGAGUGGCGGACGGGUGAGUAAUGUCUGGGAAACUGCCUGAUGGAGGGGGAUAACUACUGGAAACGGUAGCUAAUACCGCAUAACGUCGCAAGACCAAAGAGGGGGACCUUCGGGCCUCUUGCCAUCGGAUGUGCCCAGAUGGGAUUAGCUAGUAGGUGGGGUAACGGCUCACCUAGGCGACGAUCCCUAGCUGGUCUGAGAGGAUGACCAGCCACACUGGAACUGAGACACGGUCCAGACUCCUACGGGAGGCAGCAGUGGGGAAUAUUGCACAAUGGGCGCAAGCCUGAUGCAGCCAUGCCGCGUGUAUGAAGAAGGCCUUCGGGUUGUUAAGUACUUUCAGCGGGGAGGAAGGGAGUAAAGUUAAUACCUUUGCUCAUUGACGUUACCCGCAGAAGAAGCACCGGCUAACUCCGU
rnacentral:rRNA from 1 species